CCUCGCCACCUCCCUUGAUUCCAAGCCUUCCUAUCAGUUGUUCCUGCUGCCUGGGAUCCUUGCUCUUCUGUCUCCUUUUGUUUAACCUGAUUAUUGUUUCUCAUUUCAGUUUGGAUGUCACCCUGCCAGAAUCAGACGCCAUCCUUGACCCCCUCCAAAACAUCAGCCCUCUACACACCACAGAAUUUCCUCUCUCCCUUGACUUAGCUUACCAUAUUUCAUUGGCACAGAUGCAUCAGCCCCAUUUCCUAGACACACUGAACAAACUGAGAACAGAAAACUGAGAUCAAAUCCCACUACUUCCCAUCAACCAGAGCUGAAGUGGGAGGAUUGCUUGAAGCCAGGAGUUUGAGACCAGCCUGGACAACAAAGCAAAACCCUGUCUCUACAAAAAAAAAAAAAAAACAUUUUAAAAUAUUAUCUGGGCAUGGUGACGCAGGUCUGUAGUCCCAGCUACUUGGGAGGCUGAGGUGUGAGGAUCACUUGAUCGCUCAGGAGUUUGGAGGCUGCAGUGAGCUAUGAUCACACCACUGCCCUUUGCUUGGGUGUCAGAGUGAGACCUCAUCUCUAAAAAAAAUUAAAAUAAAAUAAAAUUAUAAAAUAAUAAUAAAAAAAGAAGGGGCACCCACCACAGAGAGCAAUUAAUGUCCAGAGAGUAUGAACAGAUCCUGGGACUGCUUUGCAAGACAGUUCAGUUAAAGUUGCUUUAACUUUGUAGGCGGACCAGCCUCUGCUCAGCCCUUGAAAGGGAAGCUGGGCACUCACCACACUCAGUAAGCUGAACAAGAGCAGGCCGUGAGGCUGCCAAGCCCUCCAAGGAUAAAGCAUGAGCCCUGGGGCAACUGGGCAUGUGCUGGAGAUAGCUGGCUCAAGGCCAGUGCCUCUUCAGUGCUGGAAACUGUUGACUCAAGAUUCGUGCGUCACCCAGCCCUUGGGGGUGGGCCGGGGACCAUGACUCUGGCAAGCUCACAGAGUGCCUGAGAUUGAAGCUGCUGUGCAUGGUGGCUGCUUUAUGUUCCUGCAAUAACUAACAGGGACCAAAGCUGAAAGCAUUCUGUGUAUGGGCUGAUGGUGGCUGGAAUAUACAUUUGGAGGUUUGAACCUAGCCUUUUCAAAAACAAAACCAAUCAAAUAAAGCAACCCCUCCCCAUCACCUGAGGACUCUUCACAAGCUUUCUGGUAGGUUCCAGGAGUUUCUGAUCCCCCAGGCUGAGGCAUUACUUGGUGGUUAUUAACCUCGUGCAGAGCAAAAUGAAAUGCAGACCCUGAGGUCCUUUGGGAGACUUAGAACCUUAGCCGAAGUUCCAGAGAUCCUGGGGCUGCUUUUCUGAAGUUCCAGUUUCUUCAGCAAAGUUGCUCCCAAUUUCUCAAAUAGUGGAUACACCUCUGCAGAGUGGCUGUCAGUCUUAGAAAGUGUAAGACAUGCCUGGAGAACUUGUUAAAAGUUCAGAUUCUACACACCUAACAGAAUGGCAACAAUUCAGAACACUGACAACACCCAGUGCUGGUGAGGAUGUGGAGAAACAAGAAUUCAUUCACUGCUGG
rnacentral:lncRNA from 1 species